rnacentral:misc_RNA from 1 species
GGAGAAACAAGCAUCUGAGCUUUACACAAGGAAGUUGUUCAUGAAAUUUCAAGAGGAGUUGGUUGAGACAUUAACUUUCCUGGCAACCAAAGUUGAGAAUGAGGAGGCAACCGCCAUUUAUCGAGUUGCCAAGUUUGAGGAAAAUCAUAAAGCUUACUUUGUUAGAUUUAAUGUUCAUGAGAUGAAAGCAACUUGUAGCUGUCAGAUGUUUGAGUUCUCUGGCCUUCUUUGUAGACAUAUAUUGACGGUUUUUAGGGUGACCAAUGUUCUUACACUACCUUCUCGCUAUGUAUUGAAACGGUGGACGAGGAAUGCCAAGAGUGGUGUGAUAUUGGAGGAUCACUCCAAUGCUUUGCGAAGUAGUUCACGAGAAUCUCUUACAGUCAGAUACAAUAAUCUUCGCCACGAAGCCCUUAAGUAUGUUGAUGAUGGAAUUAAGACUUUAGAAAUUUACAAUGUCGCUAUGGAUGCUUUACAAGAGGCAGCAAAUAAAGUGUCUCUUUCAAAAAAGGCUGGUGGGAAAGUUGCAAUUACAAAUGGACCUGGCACAAAAGAUCUUCCCAAUCAGGGAAAUGAGACUUAUGGAACUCAGCAAUGGAGUUUAGAACAGCCUGCAUCUAUGGUCAGUAAUUUAUCCAAUACCCAUUUAUGUCAUGCUUAUCUUGAUUUUCCAUCAACUUUUUUGCCUCUUGGUCUGUCUAUAUUUUUGAGCUUAUGAUGGAUGAUAUUGCUAAUUGACCUAGAGAGCCUAAAUUAAAUUUACAUUUGUUAAUUUUGAAGUGAUCCUGUGGACAAACAUUUGUUAGAACUCUAGAAUAUUAAUGUAAAUGUUAAAGAAUGCCAAGCUCUAGCAACUAUAAGUUAUGUGAUUUGGUACAAAAAGGAUAUAAAUGAAGAGAAUGCUCCCUAGAUCAAAACUUUUAGUUUCUUCGAUCACUCACUGUAAACUACUUCCUGCUUUCUCCAUGGCUUCUAGUUUCUUACUUAUCACAUGCACUUUGAAUAAUUUGUGAUCACACAAUACUCAUUAACCUCCCAAAAUGCUUUGAGCAAGUGAAUAUUAAGGUUGCUCAUUUAUCAGAAAAUUAUUUUCAUUUAAAUUUAGGUAAUUUAUAUCUUCCUUAUGCUCAAUUUGAAAUCAAUUUGCAGACUGGUUGAACUCAAAUUCAAUUUGUUUCAUUGAUACGAAUGGCGAUGGGUUUGCAAUUAAAAACUAAAAUUGCUUGAUAGAAUCAAAGAUUCAAACACCUAAUUGCUAAAAUUAAAA